UGCUCACCUCUCACUCACUCAAACCACUCUUCUCCCCACGCUUCCUCCUCAAGAACCGAGCUGUCACACAGUGCACUGUUCAUCACCUCAGCCGCCGGUGGAAAAAGGAGGGGAAAAGCAGAUCUGAUGAUAGCAGUGGCCGCAGAAAGACGAUCGACCCGCGGAUAAGACGCCAACCCUAGCGUUGACGAGUGAUGGAUCCGUCCAGCCGGAAGAGGAAAACGCGUAGAUCGGCCAACGAAGAUGACCCUCUCUACAAGCCGAAGAGAGCACACUCUCGGAGGGAGCGAGAUGCAGCUUCCGUCAGCGACUGCCAUCUCCCGCAUAGCGGGUGGGGAAGCGGCGCCAUCGUUCGUGCGGUUGACCACCGUCCUGGCCGGCGAGCAGAUGUAGAUUUUCUUCGGGGUAAAUGUUGCAAGAGCACGUUCAAUAUGAGACCAUUCCUUGGUCUAGGGCCAUCUUACUACCCUGCUGUUGCCGAUUCAGACAUGGGGGGCCUGCUGACCACGCAGAUAGCAAACGAUGCAAAGAAAAAGCACUACGCAUGGAUCCUGUCACGAUUCAACCCCCAUGACAUGAGUUUUAGGUUUAGGGAUGAGCAGAUCUGUAGGUUUAGAGUCUCUAACAUGGUUUCCAUCAUGGGGUUUAGAAAUUCCGGUGAAUCCGUAACAUAUGAUACUCCUCCGAACAGGGCAGAACUUGUUGAGCAGAGACAGGACAUAGUUGGCCUAGAGAGGAAAACAGUAGGGGGGCUAGCUGUCAAUGACAUACUGUAUGCAUUUCAGUAGAUGGAUCACAUGACCAUAGAACCAGAUGAGCGUAGGGCAAUGUCAGUUGCAUUCUCUUUAUUGGGAUCUGCUCUGGUCGUAGCACCAAACCAAAGAUAUCCUGCUGUACCAGAUGAGAUCCUACAGUGUGUUGUGCAUCCACAAGGCACUGGGUUCUACAACCUUGCAAAGUAUGGAUUUGAAAAACUUAGGGAAGCAGUACGGAAAUUCCAAGCCGAUGUCAGUGGAGGCAAGAAAACUAUAGAGCUUGGAGGAUGCCAGGUAUCAGCACAGAUUUGGGUGUUGGACAACAUGGACUUUGGCAACUCAAAUGUGACAUCUACACGCCUGCCGAGGUUAUCAGCCUACUCUGGUGACAAGAUAAAAGAACUAAUUGGUCUAGAUGAGCGAUACCCUAGGCGGUUCAAGACCAAACCAGAAAACUGGAAGGACAACAUCAACUGGGUUUGGCACUCCAUGAUGUCAGAUAAUCCACCAGACCUUGGCAUACAUAGCGUAAGCUGCAUUGCACUCACCGUUCCAAAGCAUCAUUGUUUGUACAAAUUUAACUAACUAGUGGCAUCAUCCUGUUCAACCUUGCGCAGCCACCCAUAGAGCUUGGGGCUAUCGUGGAUGACGGGGUUGAAAAGAUCUUCAGAGAUGCGGUUACAGCAUGGUGUAUCAAACAUCCAGGUUCCAUUUGUGAUGGACGUGCUGGGGGGAGGAUGAUGCCACCAUGGAGAAGUUCCUGCAGGGAAUCAAGGACAACAAAAAAGAUUUUGUUAGAAAUCUCAUGGAUGCAUUCGCUGCUACAAGAUCAAAAUCAAUGAGCACAUUGGCUACAACAGCUGCAGUGGAUAGUGGCACGCAUGUCGGUGCACACCCGAUGGCAAAUGAAACGACAAUUCCAGCCACUCAAAGUUCUAUUGUUGUUCAUGAUACGUCAGAGAUGGAAAAAAUAGAAAUUGCAGCAGGUGCAGAAAGCUUGAUUCAGGAGGGUGAUUUACCAGCACUUGAUAACACAGGUAGAAGUCCCUCAUUGAUUCGGUUUUCCUACCAGAGAUGACCCCUAAAAAUGUAUGAAGACAUUGAA